rnacentral:snRNA from 1 species
UCAACCAAGCGCGGGUAA